rnacentral:misc_RNA from 1 species
AAAAAAGUUUAUCAUAUUUAUUGCAUGAUUAGCCAAAGACUUAUUUUUACUAACUUUACAUCUGCCUCAGGUUAUCACCUUUUCAGGUUUUGCUUAUUUCAAGAUUCUAUACAAUUCAUAUAUGUGUAUAUAUAUAUAUGUUAAGGCCAGAAAAUUGUUUAAAUGACCUAAACAUCUGAGGGCUUCUCAGCAGAGAACAUGAUGAAGGAUUGCUGAACUUUGCUUUUGUAGUUGGUAAGACCACAUGAUGUGCACAAGUCCUCAAUCUCCUCCUCUGUGAAAUAGUUAUAAUUCUGCAGAAUCCUCUCACGGAGCGGCCGUUCAAUCCAGGAAGUGACUGCACUGUAUCUUAGAAAAGUGGUUCCAACAAAGACUCCACCACUUCGCAAUAUACGACAGAUUUCAGCAAUAGCAUUUGAAGGAGAUGGCCAGCAAUGUAAGGCUGCACCAGCAUGAACAGCAUCAACUGAACCUGAUGAGAAAGGAAGUCUAGAAACAUCUGCUCGAACAAGGGCAAGAUUCGUAUUUAAG